CAAUAUGGCGCAUCAAUCUGCAAGACGGGAGAACACGUGAGAUUUUCGAGUGCGUAGUUCGACGCAAAAAUAUCACGUAAUAUUAUAUUAUCGCGUAUAAGUUGGUUAGCAUUCGGAAUAUCGCCUUCGCUUCUUUGUAUCUAUCUCAGUACAGUGCAACAGUUCGUAAUUGUUAUUGUUUUAAUUAAUGCUUCUUACUGCGUCGAACAGUGUAACGCGGUUGGAACAUCGGCUUCCAUCGACUUUUAUUUGCUUCCUUGCUUGCUUCCGAAGGAAGGGAGAACACUUUAGAUCUACUUUCGACGCAAAAUCGCAGCUUCUUACUGCAUCAAGCAAUGUAACGCUGUUGGAACAUUGGCUUCCAUCUACUUGUGUCCCUGUUGGAACAUUGGAUUUGAUUGUGUUUGCCAAUUUGAAGAAUAUUGCCACAAUUGCGACAGCUCGUACAAAUCAAUCCAUUAGAGAGACAUGCAUGUAUAUACAUCACUAGAUCAUUGUAUUACGUUGCCGUUACGUUAACGCAGCUACAGGGUGUCCCAUGGGAAGUUGCUGAAAGUAAACGAUUG